CUGGAAGCCCCUUAAGGUCUUACCCUAGGACAGCCAUGAAGAUCCUCCUCAUUAUUAAAAUCCCUCCCUUGAAGUAAUUUUGAGGAUUAAUAGAACCAGCUCUUCACGAGCAUCUGUGGAGCACAUGAAAGACUCCAAGUAAUCAGGGGAUGGAAAAUGGAUGUCAGAAGAGAAGGCAAAACAGAGUUGCCAUGAGUACAAAAAAGGGCAUAGUUCUCAGUCUUUCCAGGACCCCUUCACUACAGAAAGAGCUUGGAACACCAGAAAGCGCCUUGUGCUCCAUCACCCAAAAACAGAAGCAUUCUGCGUGUACAGGGACACCACCCUCUCCCCAUGCACAUAUCCCCUCAAAACCCCAUGAAACCCCAAAUCCAAACACCUUAGGCUUCUAGAGUUUCUGGUAUUUCCUCUUUGACUUCACCUCUGGAAAAAAAAAAAAAAAAA
rnacentral:lncRNA from 1 species